rnacentral:rRNA from 1 species
CCUACGGGGGGCAGCAGUGGGGAAUAUUGCACAAUGGGGGAAACCCUGAUGCAGCGACGCCGCGUGAAGGACGAAGUAUUUCGGUACGUAAACUUCUAUCAGCAGGGAAGAAAAUGACGGUACCUGACUAAGAAGCCCCGGCUAACUACGUGCCAGCAGCCGCGGUAAUACGUAGGGGGCAAGCGUUAUCCGGAUUUACUGGGUGUAAAGGGAGCGUAGGCGGCCACGCAAGUCAGAAGUGAAAACCCGGGGCUCAACCCUGGGAGUGCUUUUGAAACUGUGCGGCUAGAGUGUCGGAGGGGUAA